rnacentral:tRNA from 1 species
UGAAGAGUAGCUCAGUGGUGGGGCACUUGCUUAGCAUGCAUGAGGCCCUAGGUUCAAUCCCUAGCACUGCAA